rnacentral:rRNA from 1 species
GAGUUUGAUCAUGGCUCAGAUUGAACGCUGGCGGCAUGCCUUACACAUGCAAGUCGAACGGCAGCACGGGAGCUUGCUCCUGGUGGCGAGUGGCGAACGGGUGAGUAAUGCAUCGGAACGUAUCCUGGAGUGGGGGAUAACGUAGCGAAAGUUACGCUAAUACCGCAUAUUCUGUGAGCAGGAAAGCGGGGGACCUUCGGGCCUCGCGCUCUUGGAGCGGCCGAUGUCGGAUUAGCUAGUUGGUGAGGUAAAGGCUCACCAAGGCGACGAUCCGUAGCAGGUCUGAGAGGAUGAUCUGCCACACUGGAACUGAGACACGGUCCAGACUCC